rnacentral:rRNA from 1 species
UACGGGGGGGGCAAGCGUUGUUCGGAAUUACUGGGCGUAAAGGGCUCGUAGGCGGCCAACUAAGUCAGACGUGAAAUCCCUCGGCUUAACCGGGGAACUGCGUCUGAUACUGGAUGGCUUGAGUUCGGGAGAGGGAUGCGGAAUUCCAGGUGUAGCGGUGAAAAUGCGUAGAUAUCUGGAGGAACACCGGUGGCGAAGGCGGCAUCCUGGACCGACACUGACGCUGAGGAGCGAAAGCCAGGGGGAGCAAACGGG